UCAAGUCAGAGCUCCACCCUGAAUGUGCCCGAUCUCGUCUGAUCUCAGAAGCUAAGCAGGGUAAGGCCUGGUUAGUACUUGGGUGAGCUUUGUUGAAUAAGGACAGUGGUCUCCACUAGAA
rnacentral:rRNA from 1 species